CUUCCUUUGCAUGAUUUAUGUGAUUGUUUUAAGGUGUUUUAGGGGAUUUUUGGGGAGUAUUUUAGAGUCAUGUUCAUGGAUGUUUGGUCCCUCAUUUGAGUCCACCUGUGUAGGUUCGGACCCGAGGAACCGAGGACCUCAGCAGUGAGAUAGCUGCUUCAGAGUCAUUAGAGCUUCAGCUAGAGGUGAGUGGAAUAACUCAUUACGUUUCAAAGCUAAUAAAUAAAUUUUGAGCAUGAUACAUACAUCACAUAUGCCAUGAGAUAUACUAGGUUCAUUAGAAUUCACGAAUAUGUUGCAUUGCAUAACUUGAUGAUGAUGUGGAUGGAUGUUGAAUGACCCUUUAGUCCUCGUAUGUUAUGGUAUGAUGAUGAUACGGUAUGAAUAGCUAGUGAGGCCCAUUCUACGCCCCUGGCACUAUGGAAUGUUAUGCUAUGUUAUGUUAUGUUAAGAGAAAGACCAGUGAGGCCCAUUCUACGCCCCUAGCACGAUUGGACUAUAUAGAGGACUAUUGGUGACAAGUCCAUCCUUGAUGUGAUUUGUUUGUGAUGUGUUGCAUUUCAUGAAAGCAUGAAAUUUAAAUGUGUUGCAUUUCAUGAAAGCAUAAAAUUUAAAUUGAAUGUUUAUUUAUUCUGCUCACUGGGCUUUAUAGCUCACCCCUCUCCCUUAACCCCCAGAUUUGCAGGUACAGGGUAGACCAGGAGGUCAGCAGGAG
rnacentral:lncRNA from 1 species